CUUCCCCCGGCGCUGCCCCAGCCGCCGGAUCCACCGCCUCUAUUCACCGGAGCCCCGCGAGGGGUGCGGGAGUGGCGUCCCGGCCCGGCGCUGCCCCCCGGCCGGGCGGCACAAAGCAGCGGCUGUCACACGCACGCACACACACGAGCGGCAACUCGGGAGGAUGAGGAGGAGCCGCCCCCGAGCCCCCCUCCCGCCCCCCGCAACUGGACGUGGCACAACGAACACUCCUCCCGCUCCGGGCCCCCCGUGCCGCCCCCGGCAGGUACCGGCCCCUCCUGCGCGGGGCGGCCGCGGAGCCUCGGCCGCACAGCGCUGUUGAGUUGAGGAUGUCCAAGGCAAGGUGGCAUGGACCCUUCGAAGUUUCUGGGCUAAGCUAGACCUCUAGAAGGAACCAUAAGCUGCUGAAUGAGCGAUAGCUCUCAAAGAUUUCCAGGUGCCUAACACUGCACCGCCUUGUGCUUUGGUGUCAGUGACUCUGAAAUUGUUUACGGAAAAGCUCAUGGCUCCUACUGAUUUCAUCUGCUCUUGCAAUUUCACUAUGAGUCAUCCAAUAUGGUGUGUACUUUGUUUUACUUACAGACCAAACUGCCUGAAUUGCAUCUUUAGUGAAGUUGUCUCAGCUCCCUUCAGGCAAAAAAAGCACAAGCAAAUAAAAGUUUCUUGCUCUCA